rnacentral:rRNA from 1 species
CGGGUGAGUAAUACAUCGGAACGUGUCUUCUAGUGGGGGAUAACUGCCCGAAAGGGCGAGCUAAUACCGCAUGAGACCUGAGGGUGAAAGCGGGGGAGUCGCAAGACCUCGCGCUGGAAGAGCGGCCGAUGUCCGAUUAGCUAGUUGGUGAGGUAAAGGCUCACCAAGGCGACGAUCGGUAGCUGGUCUGAGAGGACGACCAGCCACACUGGGACUGAGACACGGCCCAG